rnacentral:rRNA from 1 species
AAUCAACGCUGGCGGCGUGCCUAACACAUGCAAGUCGAGCGGGAAAGGGGCUUCGGUCCCUGAGUAUAGCGGCGGACGGGUGAGUAACACGUGGGUAAUUUGCCCUUGGGUGUGGAAUAACUCAGGGAAACUUGAGCUAAUACCGCAUGACAUCCCCUUCACACACGAGUUGGGGAUCAAAGCCGGGGACCCUUCGGGGCCUGGCGCCUGAGGAGAAGCCCGCGCCCGAUUAGCUAGUUGGNGA